rnacentral:lncRNA from 1 species
UAAAACACCCUUAUAGUAUCAGAAUUGGUACAAAAAUACCCCUCGUUUAACUUUUGGCCUCAAAAUACCCUUGGGGUUAACCUUUAGGGACCUAUUUUGCCCUUUUGACUAACAGACUACUUAGUAAAUAUAUUUAAUUAUUUCGUUUAUUACGUGGCAUGUUGUAAUUGGUUGGAAAUUUAAUUAAUUAAUGCCUAAUUUGUUUGACCCAAACCACCCUAUCCACCCGAC